UGAGGAAUAUUGGUCACAUGGACGGAAGUCUGAACCAGCCAAGUAGCGUGCAGGAUGACGGCCCUAUGGGUUGUAAACUGCUUUUGUAUGGGGAUAAAGUUAGGGACGUGUCCCUAUUUGCAGGUACCAUAUGAAUAAGGACCGGCUAAUUCCGUGCCAGCAGCCGCGGUAAUACGGAAGGUUCAGGCGUUAUCCGGAUUUAUUGGGUUUAAAGGGAGCGUAGGCUGGAGAUUAAGUGUGUUGUGAAAUGUAAACGCUCAACGUCUGACUUGCAGCGCAUACUGGUUUCCUUGAGUACGCACAACGUUGGCGGAAUUCGUCGUGUACCGGUGAAAUGCUUAAAUAUGACAAAAAACUCCGAUUGCGAAGGCAGCUGACGGGAGCGCAACUGACGCUUAAGCUCGAAGGUGCGGGUAUCAAACAGGAUUAAAUACCCUGGUAGUCCGCACAGUAAACGAUGGAUGCCCGCUGUUGGUACCUGGUAUCACCGGCUAAGCGAAAGCAUUAACCAUCCCACCUGGGGAGUACGCCGGCAACGGUG
rnacentral:rRNA from 1 species